ACCGCAAAGAUAGACGUGUAAUCUUGUAUAUAGUCCACACCAAGUAAUCCUAGCGCGACCAGAUGGCGGUACACCACGAGCCCAUCUAAUCGUUUUGCAAUCGUGACCGCUGGGGUUCAUAGGCUUAACUAUGAGGGGAUGGUUGAGAAAGGGGUCUCCAUAGAGAUUAUAAACCUUAAAUCUACACCACCAAAAGAUGGACGCAUUAGUUCCCAAUGCUGGCGGUUUUGCUCAAGUACAAUACUGUCACCCCCAGGACGACGUUGAGAAGGCCAGAGAUAAACUGAAAAGUUGCAUUGAUUAAAAACAACUACCUCGGUACUCGAGACUAAGGAAGAAAGAGCACCUAUAGUAAUAAGGAUAGUAAAUAA
rnacentral:lncRNA from 1 species